CCCCCCCACCCCCGCCCCUAAAUCCAUAAAAAAUCAACCCACUCUCUCCAGAACUUUCUUUCCAGAACAGCUGUUCCAAGCAAAACCAAAGGUAAUUCCUGUUGUGGACUGAAACAAAUGAGCAAGUCUACCAAAGGUUAUUUGGAUCCCUGAAUCUCCCUAAGACCGGUUCUUUCAACAGAUCUUUGGCCAGGCCAGUUCUAUUUAUAAGAGAGGAAAGGCCAGUGGGGUGGGGGAGGAGCAGCAGCUCAGACUUAAAAACAAACACUCCAAAAUAAACAUUUCACUGCUGAAUUUGAGCCAUCCCCUCCAACAACUCUUUGGUACUUGUUACAUAAUUAUAUACAUUCCAAAAAUGAAAACAAAAAUAUCUAGGAAAGAGUGGCAAUGAGGAGCUUUGUGUUUUCCCAGAAACUUGAGGGAAGGAGAAAGCAUUGCUGACUCGCUCCAAAUUCAGUAAUAAGUUAUGCCUAAUGAAGUGAGCCAAGACCUAUUUUCUUUUUACCCUCCCAGGUGAUUCUGUUUCACAAUUACUACAGAUUCCCAGGUCCUUGGGGUGAUCCCAAGUGCAUGAAGAAAGGAUACUAGGUAAGCCCACUAGUAUAACCGAGAAAGGUGUGAGCUCUAAUUCCUCACCUAAUUAUUUCUCAGAUUCUUUUCCUUUCUUCUUCUUUUAUAUUGUAUUGCACUGUAUCAACUCUCAUUAUUUUUAAGACUUUUUUCUUAUAUUUUGUAUAGUAUUUUUGGCUAUGACACUGAAGACAUGAUAUCAGUAAUCUGAACCAGCCCUUGCUCCAAAGGAGUCUUUCUCAAACAUUCUUUUGUAAUGGUGGAGUCUUCCCCUCUCCACUCAGGAAUAUAGAUUUCUUUCAACAGCAAGAGCCACGUACGCAGGCUAGUGACAUUGUGUCAAUAAUAAACAUGACCACAGGCAGAAGAGAUCUGUGAUUCCACUACCGUUGGGAAGUCCUCCAGCACUUGUCGAUGCUUCUCCUUGCUCUCCAUGAACCGCCAGUCAGGUUCGUAAAGGUAAGAGUGAAAGUUGUGUAACAGUGGGACUUUUUUUUCUAUACUGAUGGUCAUGUCAUCUUCCAGAGUGUCCAGAGCUCGGAGAACCAGAUAAAAUAUACAGACUGCAUUGCUGUAAAAAAGGAAGAACUAUUAAUGUAUUGGAACAAACUCCCAAAUAUAUUUAUUUUGAAAUAACAUCUCAUUUAUACCAGGCCAUUUUCUAAACCCUUAACUCUACAGAACUUGGAAAGAAUAUCCAGCCUUUCAUACUUGAGAUAUCUUAGCUUUCUUUUCUUAGAUGGCAGCAAUGGACUUCUGUAGUUUAUUUAUAAAAAUAAAAUAAAAUAAACUUAUCAGCUGGAUGUCAUUACUACUCCCAGAAUGAGUUACAAUUAACUAAUGUAGAAUUGUACAAAGGCCAAAAGACCAAAUGUUUAGAUGGAACUAAUAUUUUUCAGAUAAAAAAUUAAGUCAAAAGACACAACUUCUUAAUAUAAAUACUAUCAUACAUAAAGGCAAUUGGCUUAAAUUCAUGUACAUAUGUAAUAUGCACAGAGGCAACUUGUGAAGAAUUAACCCGGCAAACUAGAAAUAUAGAGAAGCCUAAGUGAAGCCAAGAAAAAUGCAUGGCCUGCUCAGAGACAAGUUUGCUCGCUAGGGCUAAGAAAAGUUAAUAAACACCCCUCCUCCCCCCUGAAAGAGCUGGGCCUGCAUGAAUAAUAUUAGAUGGCAAGGUGCCUGGAAGGGCAGCCUAAAGUAAACACAUGGGCACUUCGACAGGGAACAUUUCCUUUAUUCAAGUGGCACAAAGUAUGCUUAACCAACCACCAACACACAGUGCAAUGCUAGUGGCGAUCUAUGUCAACAAGUUGCUUGUAAGGACGCUAAGCCCUCUGGAAAGCUUUCCUUCCCAAGUCAACAGGGGCUACCCCCGCUACUCACCGCAUUUCUUCAUCCAGCGCCUGGAUAACGGCUGCGAAACUGCGACUGGUCUGAUGCAGGUACUUGUAACAAGUCUUCAAGCUGCUGCUGAGCGAGUCCUGCGGGCAGAGAAGACAGACGGAGGUAGCAGUUGUCGAGGAGCAGGAGUGGGACUGGGGCAGGAAGCCGGCAGCCGCUGGACGCCGUAGCCGAGCGCAGACGCCCUCUCCCCGAGUCCAGUCCUUGGAAGGCCAGGGACAACAGCGCGAGGGGGUGCCCGCGCCCUUAGGCGCCGCGGCGGGGCUCAGCACCAAGGUCCGCUUGAAGAGGGACAUGGCCUUGGUGCCGCAGGCGGCUGCGGCCAUCAGAAUUGUGCGGCUUGCGCCAAGUUUUCCUCCAUAGACCCAAGCGGAGCUGGGAGGCGCCCACCGAGGGGGCGGGGCGGGCUCUCCCUCCACCCCAAUAGGCUGGGGGCUGGCCGAGCUGGGAGCAGGCGUUCGCGUGCCCCGCCCCGCCGCCCCCCAAACGCGAAUCCCGCCGCGCGCCCCGAGGCCGGCCACGCCCCACGGUUGGCCAGGCCCCUCUGCAUUCCCCUUCUCCCCAGAACCCACAGGCUGCUAAUGAAACAAGUCCACUUUAAGCAGCUUGCUUUUUCCUCCCUGACAGCAUCUCUCCGUGGGCAAACUUUAGUCAGACUCCUUUGAAUCCUCCACAUUUCCACUUGUGUGUCUAUCUUUGCAUCGCCCAAUUUUAGCAAAAAUCCUGCUAAACUGCUUUGACCAAACUUACCAAAUCUGGGCACCAGAUCAGCCUCGGUCUGAUCGGGCUCCUCCCCCGCCAUCCCCCAGCAAGAAACCCAUUAAGUCCUUGUGCCUGAAAGCCCUUGUCCCAGAUGUUUCCUCUUAGAAAUUUUCUCUCCAUCGUCCCUUCCACUCUGCCUGCUCCUUGACUAUAAAUGUCCACUUUUUCUUUUAUUCAGAAUUGAGCCCAGUUCUAUACGGAGGUUUCUUUCCCCUAUUGCACUAGCUUUUUUGAAUAAAAUCUGUUUUCACCACUUUAACUACUUGUUCAGCUGUUUUUUCUUGAACACUUGGUAAACGUAUACCAUUCUCUGAAAAACUAGUUAUUCCUUUUAAGAUUUCUAAUCGUCUUUUCCCUUUCAAAUCAGUGAGCUGUAACGAGCUGCUUCGUGAAUUUUAUUCUUUCUUAGAGAAAACAAGUACUGUUUUUCCAGAACAAAACAAAAAACACAACAAACCAUAUUCUGAUAUGCAAGCAUAAAAAAGAAAGAACUGCUGUGUAUGUGUGUGUUUUAUAGAGACUCUAUAUUUUAGAGUAGUUUUAUUAUUAUAGGAAAAUUGAAUUGAAAGUGUAGAGUUCCCAUGUACAUUCCUAUAUGCCCACAAUCUCCCCCACUCUCUUUU